AUGUCCCCUCUACCACUGUUACUGCUGCUGGAAGCUGCAUCUUAUGUAAUGGGUCAGACACUGACUGAGUCUGAAGCAGUGAUGAUUAAUCCUGGUGGAUCUCAUAAACUGACCUGUACAGCCUCUGGGUUUAGCUUUGGGAGCUACAGCAUGCACUGGAUCAGACAGGCUCCUGGAAAAGGACUGGAAUGGGUGUCAGCUAUUAGCUAUGACAGUAGUGGCAAAUAUUACUUCAGUGGUGUUCAGGGAAGGUUCACCAUCUCCAGAGACAACAGUAUGAAUCAGCUAUAUCUACAGAUGAACAGCCUGAAGACUGAAGACACAGCUGUGUAUUACUGUGCCAGA